CUCAGAGUUCCCUGCCGGUGCUGUUAUUGGAGUUUGUGUCGUAUUGAUGCUGCUUCUUGCACUCUGCACUACUGGAAUCUUCUUCUGGAAGAAAAACAAUAAUGCUUCUGAACAUUCAUCCUCUCAAACUCCUACAAUGUUAGAGCUUCUGACUGAUCACACUGUUCAAUGAAGAUUAGAAGAAGACACGUCUUUCUAGUGAAGUGGUUGCAUCAAUAUUUAAUUAGGGUAUGUUAUGUGACAUAAAUAUACAUUAACAAAACUUGUUUCACUUUAAAUCUAACUAUUCAAGUGUUCAUAGAUUUAACUGUUUCAGAUGGUCAGUGGAUGCAGUGAAAAAACUGAGUAGUGAUAGAAGCAUUUUAUCUGCAGCUGUUUCUGCAGGCCUUUGGUGUAAAGAUUGUAGCAGCUGCCAGUGGAGGAAAAAUUACACUGGAAAUAAAAGUCCUGCAUUCAAAACUUACUGAAGUAAAAGUACAACAUAAUCAGCAUCAAAAUGUACUUAAAGAAUCAAAAGUAAAAGUACUUGUUAUGCAGAAUGGUCCCACACAGAUUGUUUUAUAUAUUCCAUAUAUAGUA